AUGGAUCUUUCCGCCGCAAGCGCCCUCGCCGUCCUCAGCAAGCUGCAGCUCCUCGGCUUCUGCGUCGGCCUCCAGAUCCCCGACGACGCCGCCGACCCCUCCGAGGUGUUCGACACCAUCCUCGCCGCGUUCCUGGGCGAGGUCUACCCCGGCGAGCGCGAUGCGCGCCCGCUCCCGGCCGCCCUCGGCGACGGGCGCCGCGUGGACCUCUUCCGCCUCUUCACCGCCGUCCGCGCCGCCGGCGGCUACGCCGUGGUCUCGUCGCCCUCUGCCGGCGUCUGGGCCGCAGCCGCCGGAUCCGCGGCCCUCGCCGCGCCCGUCAAGCUGAUCUAUGCCAAGUACCUCGGCGCGGUGGAGCGCUGGAUCCAGAGGCUCCCGGAGGCGCAACCACCGCCGUCUGACGAGAUGCGGCAGGAGCUGCUCUGCGUCCGCGGUGCCAAUGGAGUUGAGAUGGAGGACUGCAAUGGGAGGGAUCAGCGGCAUGGCGCGCUCAAGAGGAAGAGGGAAGACAUUGCUGGGAUGCUGGAUUGGGUGAGGGGGCUCGCCGAGACUGUCUCGGAGGAGGGCGCCAUCGCUGCCGGGUUGGCGGAUGGAUACUUUCCGGUGGCAUUGGCGGCGCGGGAGGCGGUGUCCAGGAAGAGGGCACGCCGCGCAAGCGUGACCAACGGCGCGCUCUUGCAGGAAAUUGGUUGCAGGUGCUGCAGGAGUACCACCUGUGCCAGAAUUGGUGUUCAAUGCAGCAAAAUUGUUCAACAACCUGGUUCGGAUGCUAAUAAACUAACAAGAGUUGUUGAUGUGAAUGGAUCCUCAACGGUCAUAGAACAGGCGAGCAGUGUGAACGGACAGUUGAAGCAUUCUAAAAGUCAGCAGAGGAACAAACUACUAGUGGGCUCCAAUUAUCAAGCAGUGGUGCCACAGUGGACCGGCGUUCCGCCUGAAAAUUACGGCGAUCCGGAAACCCUCAAAUGGCUGGGCACAAAAAUCUGGCCUCCAGAAAAUGAGAAGAAAAUAACCCCAACCUACCAUGACCGUAUUGGCAAAGGCAGAGAAUAUGUCUGCAGCUGCAACAUCCCGCGAUCAGUAGAAUGUGUCAGGUUUCACAUUGCAGAAAGGCGGCUUCAGCUGAGACGUGAACUCGGCUCUGCUUUCUACCAGUGGGGAUUUGACCGUAUGGGCGAGGAGGUUGCCCUUUCUUGGACGGAUGAAGAGGAGGCAAGUUUCAAGGCUGUAAUGCAGACCUAUGCGCCAUCUCCAGCAAGGAAUUUGUGGAACCAUCUCCAGUCAUCCUUCCGCUGGAAGCCGAGGAAAGAACUUGUGAGCUAUUAUUUUAAUUGUUUUCUGCUUAGGCGGAGGUGUUACCAGAAUAGGACCGCACCAAAGAAGAUAGAUAGUGAUGAUGAGGAAGAGACAGAGUUUAGGUUUUUGGGAAACCGUAUGGGACAAAGUGCAACCAAGUAUGACAGCACCAAGCGCACCGUUUGCAUCCAAAGGACUCACUGCAUGGAUCUGGAUGAUGAGUAG
rnacentral:rRNA from 1 species